rnacentral:rRNA from 1 species
UUGUAGUCUGCAACCCGACUACAUGAAGCUGGAAUCGCUAGUAAUCGCAGGUCAGCAUACUGCGGUGAAUACGUUCCCGGGUCUUGUACACACCGCCCGUCACACCAUGGGAGCCGGAAAUGCCCGAAGCCAGUGACCCAACCUUAGGGAGGGAGCUGUCGAAGGUGGAGCCGGUAACUGGGGUGAAGUCGUAACAAGGUACC